rnacentral:rRNA from 1 species
GUGGGGAAUAUUGGACAAUGGGGGGAACCCUGAUCCAGCCAUGCCGCGUGUGUGAAGAAGGCCUUUUGGUUGUAAAGCACUUUAAGCGAGGAGGAGGCUACCGAGAUUAAUACUCUUGGAUAGUGGACGUUACUCGCAGAAUAAGCACCGGCUAACUCUGUGCCAGCAGCCGCGGUAAUACAGAGGGUGCAAGCGUUAAUCGGAUUUACUGUGCGUAAAGCGCGCGUAGGUGGCCAAUUAAGUCAAAUGUGAAAUCCCCGAGCUUAACUUGGGAAUUGCAUUCGAUACUGGUUGGCUAGAGUAUGGGAGAGGAUGGUAGAAUUCCAGGUGUAGCGGUGAAAUGCGUAGAGAUCUGGAGGAAUACCGAUGGCGAAGGCAGCCAUCUGGCCUAAUACUGACACUGAGGUGCGAAAGCAUGGGGAGCAAACAGGAUUAGAUACCCUGGUAGUCC